rnacentral:rRNA from 1 species
GACAGAGGGUGCAAACGUUGUUCGGAAUUACUGGGCGUAAAGCGAGUGUAGGCGGUCUUGUAAGUCGGGUGUGAAAUCUCGGAGCUUAACUCCGAAACUGCAUUCGAUACUGCCGUGCUUGAGGACUGGAGAGGAGACUGGAAUUUACGGUGUAGCGGUGAAAUGCGUAGAUAUCGUAAGGAAGACCAGUGGCGAAGGCGGGUCUCUGGACAGUUCCUGACGCUGAGGCACGAAGGCCAGGGGAGCAAACGGG